AGGACGAACGCUGGCGGCGUGCUUAACACAUGCAAGUCGAACGAGGUGCUUGCACCUAGUGGCGAACGGGUGAGUAACACGUGAGCAACCUGCCCUUGGCUCUGGGAUAGCCUCCGGAAACGGGGAUUAAUACCGGACAUGACCUUGGUCUGCAUGGACUGAGGUGGAAAGUUUUCGGCCAGGGAUGGGCUCGCGGCCUAUCAGCUUGUUGGGGGGGUAACGCCCACCAAGGCGACGACGGGUA
rnacentral:rRNA from 1 species